rnacentral:rRNA from 1 species
ACUCCUACGGGAGGCAGCAGUGGGGAAUUUUGGACAAUGGGGGCAACCCUGAUCCAGCCAUGCCGCGUGAGUGAAGAAGGCCUUCAGGUUGUAAAGCUCUUUCGGCCGGGAAGAAAUCGUGUUCUCUAACAUAGGACAUGGAUGACGGUACCGGACUAAGAAGCACCGGCUAACUACGUGCCAGCAGCCGCGGUAAUACGUAGGGUGCGAGCGUUAAUCGGAAUUACUGGGCGUAAAGCGUGCGCAGGCGGUUUUGUAAGACAGAUGUGAAAUCCCCGGGCUUAACCUGGGAACUGCGUUUGUGACUGCAAGGCUAGAGUACGGCAGAGGGGGGUGGAAUUCCUGGUGUAGCAGUGAAAUGCGUAGAUAUCAGGAGGAACACCGAUGGCGAAGGCAGCCCCCUGGGCCUGUACUGACGCUCAUGCACGAAAGCGUGGGGAGCAAACAGGAUUAGAUACCCUGGUAGUC